rnacentral:rRNA from 1 species
UACGAAGGGGGCUAGCGUUGUUCGGAAUCACUGGGCGUAAAGCGCGCGUAGGCGGCUUAACAAGUCAGAGGUGAAAUGCCAAGGCUUAACCUUGGAACUGCCUUUGAAACUGUUAAGCUAGAGUAUUGGAGGGGAAUGGGGAAUUGCUAAUGUAGAGGUGAAAUUCGUAGAUAUUAGCAGGAACACCGGUGGCGAAGGCGGCCUUCUGGACAGUGACUGACGCUGAGACGCGAAAGCGUGGGGAGCAAACAGG